GCGCCCGUAGCUCAGUGGAUAGAGCGUCUGCCUCCGGAGCAGAAGGUCGUAGGUUCGAAUCCUAUCGGGCGCAC
rnacentral:tRNA from 2 species